rnacentral:lncRNA from 1 species
CAGGUACCCAUCCUCUGCCCAGGCCUACUGCCAGUCUGCCCUCACCCCUCUGCUUGGGGAAGGCCUGCUCCCCAUGGCCCUGCUCACUUCUCCUGUCCUUUCACGUGGCGGCUCCACUCAUGCCCACAAAGUAGUGUAUUCCAGGUUCUGAGUCCUUCUGACUAUUCCAUUCACAAUUCACAGCUCCACAGGGGCCACAUGUCUGCAAAGUUGUUAAAGAAGAAGAAGAGAGAAGGAAAAGGGAAUGUUAUGGUUACUACCACAUCCCCUAUUCCAGCGACUUCGAAGCCUUUGGGGAAGGAGCCGAUCGGAAUCAAGGGAGUGAGGCACAAGAGAGGCUGUUCAUACUCGCCCACACAGGGAGGAUGGAGGAGAGACCCUACAGGAGUGCCAGUCUCCUCAGAGACCUUUGCCAUCCACUCCACAGAGGAACAAAUCCAAACCAUGUGGUUUCAAAGACCUUCCAGUUGCCUGGGAUUCAAGCUCCCCUUGGGUAUUAGGAAGUUUAAUGAAUAAAUAUGUAAAGUGCCUAGCACAGCAUUCAACAAAUACUAGAAACAACAUAUAUAGUAACAUUACCUUUAAAAUCUCCAACGUGGAAUGCUCUCCUGAGAGCCAGACCUGCACGUGUGACUUCUUGAUGUCUCCGCCUGAGUGCUCCACAGGUGGACCUGGUUGGAGCCUCCCCAACAGCUAUUCUUUUCUCAGUGCCGUUUUUUCUCUGCCAAAGUCCGCCUCCCACAUGGGGGCUGUAAAGUCCACAUAGUUGGUCUCCCAGCCUCUCUUGCAGUUAGGACAUGGGUAUAUGACCUCCUCCUGGUCAGUGGACCUAGGGGCUUCUGGGAAAGUUUUCCUCUCUAUUUAAAUAGACUUGUGAAUGGAAACUCUGCUCUUGUUUGGCCAGAAGUUAGUAUCUAGAGGUGAUGCCUGGACCUCCAGGAGUCCACUUUGUGACCGUGAGGGGACAAACUCAAUAUGGUGAGGUUGGCAGACCACAAGUUUAGAAGGAUCUUGCAUCAUUAACUAUGUGAUUGAACCAAUGAACUAAUCCUGGGACCUCUGGGCUUAUUGCUACAUAAGAUAAUACAUGUCUUUAUUCCAAGCCACUUCCAAUUAGGUAUUCUGUUACCUGUAGCUGAAAUCGUUCUAAUACACAUCUCCUAAUCAACAAAUCUAUAAAGAAACUCAUCAACUCCUUCCCAAAUUAUUCUUCCUCACGAGUUCCUCAUCUCAGCAAAUGACAGUUUCCUUUGCCAGAAAUUCUAGUAAUGUCUGCUUCUUUCUCCCUCAUUUCUCUCAUCCAGACUGUCACCAAACAUCUCGACUCUCUUUCCAAAGUCUCUUUGGUCGCUUGCCCCUGCCAGGAUGGUUGUGAUCAUCUCCUGCUGGUUCUCCCCGUCUCUGAUUUCUUCCCUUCCAGUCCAUUCUCAUCGGUCCACCAAGCAUCUCUGUUCCCUGGACACACCACAUUCAC